UGAUAAUAUGGAUUCCGAAAUUGAAAUUAUUGCUAGCAAUAGGGUAAGGAGCUUCGACAACCAGAAUACUAAUACAUCUGAUGAGAGGUAUUACGAGCACUCGAAGGAUUGGAUUACUCAUCUCAAACCGAAUUGUAUGAUGUGUUUCAAAGGGGAAGAUGUUAACAAUCACCAAAUGGCUAGUGAGAAAUCUUCUCACCCAUGUUUCGGAUUUACAAGUAUAGAGUAUUUGAUCGUGGGAGAGAUCUUGAAGUGAUGGAAGGGUAUUAUUGUUUUGAUAGUUCUUAUGAUUUCCAUGAUUAUACAAUUACUUCUCGUGAGCUUGUUCUUAAUGGGUCAGAUUCAUGGUCUAGUGUAAGUGUCUGUAUACCAUCUAAUGGUGGUGUUUGUUGUUACCAACUGCUUAAGGGAACUGAAUCGUCAACAAACAAUUUUUCUGCUCAAGUGAUGAUGUGCUGGAAUUCAGUUGGAGUCUUACUUGAUGGUACUUAUGAAUUCUAUGUCGAUAUUUAUGAAUUGUUGCUUUCGAAUUGGAUUGGGACUUUACUUACAAAGCAAGGUGAAGACGGUGACACUUACAAGUUGUUUGAUCCUGGCAGACAUAACUUUCAUGGUAAUGAAGGUUACGUGUUUCUCUUACUUCGGGGAAGUGAUUGUUAUAAGCUCUUGAGGCUCAAGAAGAGUUGUAAAGGGAUGUAAUCUUGUGAAGAGAAGGAAGAAAUCAAGGAGAUGCUGGUAGUGGUUAAUGGCGCGGAAAGCAAAAUACACAAGUUGUUGAGAGAAAUGCUUAAAGAAGUGAUGGCUACUUAUAAUGGGCUAGAUGUUGUAAUUCCGAGGUUUUAUUACAUGGGGAAUCAGUUAGUCAUUCUUAUAAAUGUUAUUAUAUCUACUUCAGAAGAGAAAUAUGCUCUAAGUUUGCAUCUUAUAGCCGGAUUAAUUGUCCAUGAAGCUUACAAGCCAGCAAUUGAGUUUUCUUACCAACUGCCUAAUGUCUGGAAUUCAGCUGUUUUAUGGAGUGUGAGAAUUCUUAUAAGCCAACAAUGGAGAUUAUGGUCCUCCCAAUAGAGAAUUACAUUUGGCCAGAAAUUCUUGUCAAGGGAGGGAACUUGCUGCUUGGAAUUGAGAUUCAGGUUGUGCUGAAACUGGGGAAUCCAAAAUGGAGAGCAAUCAAGCUCCACCAAAAACUUAAGUCGCUAGUACAGGGUGCCUCAUAUCAGAGUUGCACUUCAGCAAAAUCCAAGAGUGGUAGUUAUCAAGUCGUACAAGCGGACCUAAUGGUGAUAACCAAGUGUUUUGUUCCUAGCGAACUUUUUAAACUGCAAGAAGGAGUGGAUUUCUUGAAGUGGAAAUUCAAGAGUUCGAAUGGCGGUGAAGAAGGUAUACUCUUGCCUACGGCUGCUAGAGUUCUCUUUGUGGAGUCAUUGAUGAUUAUAGUUGAUAUACAAGGAGGUAACGAGCUUCAGAUUCUUUUGGAUGAGUUUGAAUUUCUUCAAGUGCCAAUAACGCCAGUUCCCAGAAUUUCUAGAACUCAAUUUUACCUCUCAGCAAGUUGUUUCUUCUUUCACUUUCAUUUUCUCACACUGACACCGGUGAGAGUUUUACAAUCCAUGAGAAAGUUUUAAUGGCAGAUUGGUAUUCCAAACUGAUGAGUUUUGCAAUUCAUGAGAUGGGUGUAUAUGAAUGUCAGUAUUCUCAAUUGUGUUACAGCUAUAUGCGGGGUCUGGCAUCUCAAAAUGAUGAGAAUUAUAGAUAUCUUUAUUAUGACCUUGUGAGGACGGUGAGAAUUCAGUUCAUGCUCGUUAAAAUUCAAGUUACCAAUAUACUAAUGUUGGUGGCGUUUUUGAGGUGGAAAUACGAAUUAUGCUCUACAGGUAAAGGGAGUGUUGAAAAUAGGAGUCAGACCAUUUCAACCCUCAGGUGGCUGACAGUAACUCAAGUCUUACUCGUGGUGAUUCAGAGUCCAGAUGUGCUAGUGCUAGUAGAUUUCUUGAGGUGGAAAUCCAGAGGGGUGUCAAAAAAUUUAUGGAGUAUGGGGAAAGGCACAUGUUUGUUGUUUGAUAGAGGGAAAAGACUCGAAUCCGAGUUUAGGAAUUCUCACUCCAAGAGUUCUAGUGUUGUUUAUUUAAUAACACAUUUGAAUGUUCAUGUGCUGACGGUGAUGGAUUGAUAUGAAGUGGAGGAGAUUCAAAUUAUUUCGUACUGGCUUAUGGGAUGUGGGAAAUAUGAUUAUCAUGAUGCAACCAAGGUGGAACCGGCUCACUGCAGUUGGAGGUUAUAGCUGGACAGAGCUCCCUAUUAAGGAAGUGGUAUUGUUUGUGGGAAUUCAAAUUCUUAUUACGUUGGAGUUGGUGGAUCGAGUAUGGUGGGUGUUUAGGCUGCAACAACCUUGUAAUUGGCAACUAAACACCUCUGCUGCAAAGAUAGACAGGAAAAUAGUGACACAAGGUGAAAAGUUAAAUGAAUCUUCAGUCCCCACUAUGUUAGUUAGCAAGGAAGGGGUUGAGACCGAGAACAUACUCUCACAAGCUUAUGUAAUUCCUGGCAAAGAAGAAGACAGAGAGCAGAAUGCUCAUGCCAUGGCGAGAAUUGGAGACACACUCCUUGUGUAAAUUUACCAUACAAGAACACCAAUCAGUCUGGACCUUGUUGUUAAACUUGAUCCAACAGUUACUGGGAUUCUUAAAUUAGUAGUUGUUAUUCAUUGGUGCAUGGGGGCCAUAGACGGGAUUGAUGAUUAAACUGGUGCCUACCAAGCUGAGGGUUAUGAAGAUAGUGGACAUGUUUAUAUCAGGGAAAUAAACUCAAGAGGGCUAGGUUCACUGGUUGGUUUUGAUUGGAGCACAGUCAAGCUAAUUGCUAAUCAAAUUUGGAGCCAUGCCAUUGCCAAUCCAAUUCACCUCUGUAUCAUGAUAAUGGAUUCCCAACAACUGAAGGCUUUCGAUGUCGUGAAGAAGAAAAUAAUCACUUCAGCUUUAAGAUUGUUCUUCAUUGCGAUCAUGGUAAGGGAAAAUGAUACUAAAUUCCACCUAGCUGCAUCUGACAAGGUAGAAGACAACUGGGCCUGCAUUCUUCAUCCUUGAGGACAAGGAUGUUUUGGAGGGGAAGGUAUUGUCAUGCACCUAGCCAAGAAGAGGGUGGCCCUUAUCUUAUCGGCAGUCAGUCUUUAUCACUAGUUAU